GUCUUCAUCAGAGGGCAUGUCUCCUGGCAAGGGGGCAUUUGCUGCCUGCUGCCCAGCUCUGAGCAACAGCCCGGAGCCCUGCUGGCUGCUCUCCGCACCCUGAAGCCGGCUCUGAGUUCGACCAAUGCUCAGCCUUCGCUGGUGCGGCCAGGGCUCUCAUCUGCUGCUUCCAUUUCAGUUCAAGUUCAAACUUGAACACUUGUACAAAGACUCCUUGGAUGAUCUGCUUGUGCUAUUGGAGCAUUUCCUCCUUGCUGGCUGACACAAUGGCAAGCUUUGUCAGUGAAGAGUGCCGAAGAGACACUGCAAGAGGAAGGGGCUUCUCUCCCAGUUCCAGGGUCAGAGGCCUCAUCUUCCUAGAAGUUCAUUCUUCAGAUUGUCAGCAACAAUGUCCAUGAAAAUGAGGUACACCACUUCCUUCAGGCCUGGAGGUGAGGCACUCCUGGUCCUCCUUUUUUUUUUUUUUUCCUUCACCUGUUGGUUGGCUGAAUGCAGAGAGGUCUCAGCCGAGGACUUAGGGAGGCCCUGAAAGAUGAUGGAACCACAAAAUUGGUGGCAUGGUGAUAUAGUUUGAAUAUGUAUCCCUGUGAAAUCUCAUGUUGAAUUGUAAUCCCCAGUGUUGGAAGUGGGACCUGGUGGCAGGUGAUUGGGUCAUGGAGAGGAUCCCUCGUGGUUUGGUGUUGUCCUUGCAUUAGUGAGUUCUCGUGAAAUCUGGUUGUUUAAGAAUGUUACCCAUGCCCUCCAUUCUC